UACGUAGGGUGCAAGCGUUAAUCGGAAUUACUGGGCGUAAAGCGUGCGCAGGCGGUUUUGUAAGUCUGUCGUGAAAUCCCCGGGCUCAACCUGGGAAUGGCAUUUGUGACUGGAAGGCUAGAGUGUGUCAGAGGGGGGUAGAAUUCCACGUGUAGCAGUGAAAUGCGUAGAGAUGUGGAGGAAUACCGAUGGCGAAGGCAGCCCCCCUGGGAUAACACUGACGCUCAUGCACGAAAGCGUGGGGAGCAAACAGG
rnacentral:rRNA from 1 species